GCCCAGUGGUUACCAGACCUGACAUUUUCCAUGCGGUGCACUGGUUUUAUUAAAUGGGCAGAAAUAAAAGCUGUGGUAUUUUGCAUGGGGCCAGUACUAUGCUUGUCCCCAUAGCCCGGUCACAGUAACAUUU
ensembl:snoRNA